rnacentral:misc_RNA from 1 species
GUGAAUCAUCAAAUUUUUGAACGCAAAUUGCACUCUCCUCGGAGAGGAUGAGUGUUUGAGGUUCAGGCUAUGAAAAAUAGACAUCGUUGCUGUUUCGCGGUGGUGGUGGUGGGAAAUUGGGCCAUAUUAAAUCUUUUGGUUUUAAGCGAUUUAAAAUUUUCUUUUUUGUUCUCUGAACGUUUCUAAGAUUUAUUUCUUUUCAGUAUUAAGGUAUCGAUUUUUAUUUGACGUGAUUAU